GGGUGGAUUUCAAGUAAUCAAGCAAUCAAAGGAGGUGAGCAUUCUGGCAAAAGUAAAGAGAUAGCACCCGAGGAUCAAGAAUCAGAGUACUCAAAAUUCGACUCUCGAAAUAGAUAGUCGGUAGAUAGCUCACUUUGUUGAGGGCUACAAUUGGACUUGCAUCCUAAAAGACUGUAGGUUACUGCUUUUAAGACUUUUGGUUGUUCGUGGGCCCACGUGUCAUUGUAAAUUAAAUUUUAUACUUUGGUUAUAUGUAUUACAGUAUG